CCAAUAGCGUAUAUUAAAGUUGUUGCAGUUAAAAAGCUCGUAGUUGAAUUUCGGGAUCAAGUCGUCGGUCGUGCCUCGGUACGCACUGGUGACAUUGGUUUCUCCCUUCUGAAGAACCUUGAUGUCAUUAAUUUGGUGUCUUGGGGAAUCAGGACUGUUACUUUGAAAAAAUUAGAGUGUUUAAAGCAGGCUCACGCUUGAAUACAUUAGCAUGGAAUAAUGAAAUAGGACGUUUGAUUCUAUUUUGUUGGUUUCUAGGAUCGACGUAAUGAUUAAUAGGGAUAGUUGGGGGCAUUAGUAUUCAAUUGUCAGAGGUGAAAUUCUUGGAUUUAUUGAAGACUAACUACUGCGAAAGCAUUUGCCAAGGAUGUUUUCAUUAAUCAAGAACGAAAGUUAGGGGAUCGAAGACGAUCAGAUACCGUCGUAGUCUUAACCAUAAACUAUGCCGACUAGGGAUCGGAUGAUGUUAAUUUUUAAUGACUCAUUCGGCGCCUUACG
rnacentral:misc_RNA from 1 species